GAUGAACGCUAGCGGCAGGCCUAACACAUGCAAGUCGAACGGCAGCGGGGGCUUCGGCCUGCCGGCGAGUGGCGAACGGGUGAGUAAUGCAUCGGAACGUGCCCAUGUCGUGGGGGAUAACGUAGCGAAAGCUACGCUAAUACCGCAUACGUCCUGAGGGAGAAAGCGGGGGAUCUUUGGACCUCGCGCGAUUGGAGCGGCCGAUGUCGGAUUAGCUAGUAGGUGAGGUAAAGGCUCACCUAGGCGACGAUCCGUAGCGGGUCUGAGAGGAUGAUCCGCCACACUGGGACUGAGACACGGCCCAGACUCCUACGGGAGGCAGCAGUGGGGAAUUUUGGACAAUGGGGGCAACCCUGAUCCAGCCAUGCCGCGUGAGUGAAGAAGGCCUUCGGGUUGUAAAGCUCUUUUCGGCCGGGAAGAAAUCGUGGUCGUCUAACAUAGGCCAAUGGAUGACGGUACCGGACUAAGAAGCACCGGCUAACUACGUGCCCAGCAGCCGCGGU
rnacentral:rRNA from 1 species